rnacentral:rRNA from 1 species
GACGAACGCUGGCGGCGUGCCUAAUACAUGCAAGUCGAACGAGAGCGACCGGUGCUUGCACUGGUCAAUCUAGUGGCGAACGGGUGAGUAACACGUGGGUAACCUGCCCAUCAGAGGGGGAUAACAUUCGGAAACGGAUGCUAAAACCGCAUAGGUCUUCGAACCGCAUGGUUUGAAGAGGAAAAGAGGCGCAAGCUUCUGCUGAUGGAUGGACCCGCGGUGCAUUAGCUAGUUGGUGAGGUAACGGCUCACCAAGGCCGUGAUGCAUAGCCGACCUGAGAGGGUGAUCGGCCACAUUGGGACUGAGACACGGCCCAAACGCCUACGGGAGGCAGCAGUAGGGAAUCUUCCGCAAUGGACGCAAGUCUGACGGAGCAACGCCGCGUGAGUGAAGAAGGUGUUCGGAUCGUAAAACUCUGUUGUUAGAGAAGAACAAGUGCUAGAGUAACUGUUAGCGCCUUGACGGUAUCUAACCAGAAAGCCACGGCUAACUACGUG